rnacentral:rRNA from 1 species
AUUGAACGCUGGCGGCAGGCCUAACACAUGCAAGUCGAACGAGUGGCGGACGGGUGAGUAAUGUCUGGGAAACUGCCUGAUGGAGGGGGAUAACUACUGGAAACGGUAGCUAAUACCGCAUACCAUCAGAUGUGCCCAGAUGGGAUUAGCUGGUUGGUGGGGUAACGGCUCACCAAGGCGACGAUCCCUAGCUGGUCUGAGAGGAGUACCAGCCAAAAGGGAAAUGAGAAACGGUCCAGACGCCUACGGGAGGAAGCAGGGGGGAAUAUGGCACAAUGGGCGAAAGCCUGAGGCAGCCAUGCCGAGUGUAUGAAGAAGGCCUUCGGGGUGUAAAGUACUUGCAGCGGGGAGGCGUUACCCGCAGAAGAAGCACCGGCUAACUCCGUGCCAGCAGCCGCGGUAAAC